UACGGAGGGGACUAGCGUUGUUCGGAAUUACUGGGCGUAAAGCGCACGUAGGCGGAUCGCUAAGUCAGGGGUGAAAUCCCAGGGCUCAACCCUGGAACUGCCUUUGAUACUGACGGUCUGGAGAUCGGGAGAGGUUGGUGGAAUUCCGAGUGUAGAGGUGAAAUUCGUAGAUAUUCGGAGGAACACCAGAAGCGAAGGCGGCCAACUGGCCCGAUACUGACGCUGAGGCGCGAAAGCGUGGGGAGCAAACAGG
rnacentral:rRNA from 1 species